rnacentral:rRNA from 1 species
GGGCUUGGAUUCGCUCUCUUUAGGCUCGCUCGGGGAGGAGGAGGGGCCGCUUAGGGAGGAGGGACUCAUAGGUUUCGCGCUUUACAGCUUCCAAAGCAGAGGGCCACCGCCGCGGGAGUGGGACCCGUGGUUCGCGGGAGGGCCGCGUGGGCCUGAGCCGUCCCCGGCUCUCAAGGAGUAGGAGUAGCGUCCCCGGGAACGGCACAAGCAGUAGGACAUGCCUGAGCCGACGAAGUCCUUGCCGGCGGCGGCGGCGUCUCGUGGGGUAAUACCGUCCUCCAAACCGGCACCGUCGGUCACUUCUGAAUAGUCCAGACGCACUAGGACUCAAAACUUCCUUCUGAAAAUGAUAAAACCUUCUCAGUUCAUUACUAUCUCCACCAGUAAAACACCUACGUCACCACAUUAGGUUGCCAACUCUACGUUACUAAUUAAUUGAACAGGAUUUUUGUUAAUUCGUUGAACAUACUCUUAAUACCCUGCGCACCGAGGAGACCCCUGAUAUAUUGGUCCCUCUCACCCUCCUACCCA